rnacentral:misc_RNA from 1 species
CUGCCCUCAAGCACGGCUUGUGUGUUGGGCCCCGCCCUCCGAUCUCGGGGGACGGGCCCGAAAGGCAGCGGCGGCACCGCGUCCGGUCCUCGAGCGUAUGGGGCUUUGUCACCCGCUCUGUAGGCCCGGCCGGCGCUUGCCGAUCAACCAAAUUUUUAUCCA